rnacentral:tRNA from 1 species
GACAGAUGUAGCUUCGUGGUAGAGCUCUUGCCUAGUACAUGCGUGUGAGACCCUGGGUUCAAUCCCCAGCAACCUGGCC